rnacentral:rRNA from 1 species
UGGGGAAUAUUGCACAAUGGGGGAAACCCUGAUGCAGCGACGCCGCGUGAGCGAAGAAGGUUUUCGAAUCGUAAAGCUCUGUCCUAUGAGAAGAUAAUGACGGUAUCAUAGGAGGAAGCCCCGGCUAAAUACGUGCCAGCAGCCGCGGUAAUACGUAUGGGGCGAGCGUUGUCCGGAAUUAUUGGGCGUAAAGGGUACGUAGGCGGUCUAUUAAGUCAGGUGUGAAAGCGUGAGGCUUAACCUCAUUAAGCACUUGAAACUGAUAGACUUGAGUGAAGGAGAGGAAAGUGGAAUUCCUAGUGUAGCGGUGAAAUGCGUAGAUAUUGGGAGGAACACCAGUAGCGAAGGCGGCUUUCUGGACUGCAACUGACACUGAGGCACGAAAGCGUGGGUAGCAAACAGG